rnacentral:rRNA from 1 species
UACAGAGGGUGCGAGCGUUGUCCGGAAUCACUGGGCGUAAAGGGUGCGUAGGCGGCCGCGCAAGUCUGGCGUGAAAGCCCCGGGCUCAGCCCGGGAAGGGCGCUCGAAACGGCGCGGCUCGAGUGCCGGAGGGGAGAGUGGAAUUCCUGGUGUAGCGGUGAAAUGCGUAGAUAUUGGGAGGAACACCAGUGGCGAAGGCGGCUCACUGGACCGGUACUGACGCUGAUGCGCGAAAGCGUGGGGAGCAAACAGG